UUGGACUUAAUCUUCGACUCGGAGAACCGAUCUCUGGAGACUCUGGACUCCGACACAGAUCUUUGAAGCUUCGUAGCGGAAUUCGUUGGACUCCAAUAAGGUUAGGGAAGACAGACAGGGACGGUGGCGGCGGCGGAACCGGUGAGAUGAAGAAGCAGAAGAAGAACAGUAACAAAUUUUUCUUUUGAUUUUUUAUUAAAAAAAAUAUUGCAGUAAUGUUUUGGGACCUAAUCUCAACCGUCACAUAUUUUUUAUACACAUGGCACUAAUCCAUGUAAUCAAUGGGGGUAAAUGGACAAUUCAUCAAAUGGAGGGAACCUGAACUUUUUAAAUGCAACUCUCAGGGCUAAAAGAUCUUUAAAUACAACUCUCAGGGCUAAAAAAAUAAAUAACAUAAAAUAAACUAUUUAUUUAAAAUAAACUAUUAAACUAUACUUUAUUCUGUCAGAGGAGCAUUAGUGACGAUCUUCAAAAACUCUCGCGAUUCUUCACUCAGCGUUUUCAAGUUGAUUUCAGAAUCAAUUGAUUGUGGUAUUUAGUGAUUUUGCCUUCAGAAAUUUGACUUACGGUAAAUAUUAACUUUGAUUAGGGUUUUGAUUUUUCUAAUUUGAGGUUUUGUAUGUUUAGGAUUUGAUAUUUCUGAUUUGAUUUUAAUUUGAUUUUCGCUUUGAUUAGGGUCUUCCUCAUGUCCAAUUCUUGCAUCUCAAUGACUGUUGCUGCAUCUCCUGUUGGAUCUACCAGCAAUUUUCACACUUCGUGGACCAUAGGUUGGUGUUCCUAUAUUGCAAUACUUUACUUCCUUAUAGCUUUUAUAUACAAAUUGAGGAUUUUAAUUUGAUUCAUGCUUAAUNNNNNNNNNNNNNNNNNNNNNNNNNNNNNNNNNNNNNNNNNNNNNUCUUAGGAGAAUUUGAAUAAAUUUAUUAUGCUUUAGGAGAUUCAGUACUAAAUUGUCCUUAUCAAAUAUGCUACAAUUUGGUAUGAGUCACAUAUUAACUGAAGUUAUUAAUUGAAGUUAUUUCCUGCGGCAUGUGCAUUUUUAAGUGAGGCUAACUUUGAUGUUAGUAGCAGUAAGUGGUUUCAUCAUUUUAGUGAGGCAGAGGCUAACUUUGAUGACAAUUUUAUUUUUGAGUUGUAGAAGCUGCUCAGAGAUGUCAAUGUGAGCCUCUAAUUUCAACAACUCUUCAAAUUUAAAGCAUUUAACAUUGGAGUGUUUCCACAGUCUUCUCUAAUAACUUGAAAACCUUAGCCAUAAAAAGUCCUUAUUUCUUUUGUCUCCCACUUCGCCCACACUCGUUUAGUUCUCCAACUUCAUCUCUUCUUAUUUCUCCUUGCAUCUUUAUCCUGUUUGUCAUCUCCAUCAUAAAAAACUCAAGGUAAGGACUCUGGUUCUUCUAACUUUUGUUUUUUUUAAGAUUUGGUUCACUAGUUUAGAGAGAAUCAGAAUUGGAUUGUUUGCUCAUUUCUUUGCUUUUGUGUUUAUGCCUUUAGUUCCUAUUAGUUUUGAUAAUAAUGUCUCUGUUGUGUUUGAUAGAAUGCUUUAAUAAAGAUAGUAACAUGUUUGCAAAUUAUUGUCAUGUGCACGGAAUAAAAUACCUUCUUCAAAUUAUUGAUUGUUCGACACAGGCAGCUCAGAUUCAUAUGUGCUAAGUUUCUAAAACCGAUUUGAAUUUCGUAACUAUUAAUAUUUUGAUGUCAACUGAAUGAUGCCUUCAGUACUCGUUGGGUUCUUCUGUGAUAGUUCGCAUUUAGUGUUCAAUAAAUGCUAUAAUCUGUUUCACUUGUAAUUCUGUUUCAAUCUAUGUUGUAAACUGUACCAAAAACAAGUCAUAUCGGUUACUCUCUUGUAUGCUUUCACAGGGAAUCAUGUAUGCAGUCAUGAAUUUAAAGACCUACAUUUGAGGGGAUUUAUUUUGAUGGCUAAAUAAAUUUGCAUUUUUUUUGUAAUGUGGAUCAAAAUUCUGCCUCUGUUUAUGAACAUAUUUAUAAUUUGAACUGUGAAAAAAAAAAAUGAAAUGUAGAUUGGAACCCUACACACUUGGAUUUUCACUUGUUCUCAUGCUGGAGCUAUCGGCGAGAUUGAAUAGAUCGGCAGAACGCAGCUGGACUGAACCAUGGUGGUGCAGUUAAAAUGAUGAAGCAUGAACUGGAUUCCUCUUAAUGGUAUGUUAGCAUGAACUGGAUUCCUUCUCAAAGGUUUAAAAGACAGACUGAUAUUGUUAGAUGUUUAUAUGUUUUCCAUUUUAUUCACUAUGACUGGUCAUGUACAUAUAUUCAUAUGUUUCAUGUUUUCCCUUAUACAGUUGCAGAGCAGAUUUGGAUGUCCAUCCAAGAAAACAACCAAUAAGUCAUAUGUUUCUUCUCAAUGUACAUAUAUUCAUUUGUUUCUUCUCAAUGUAGUUUUUUUAGAUAUUUAUAUUGUUAUAUAUUGUUUUUCCAUUUCAGUUGUAGGAUAUUAGAUUAUUAAAGAUUAAUAUGUCUCUCAGAAGUACAAUGUUGG
rnacentral:lncRNA from 1 species